UGGGGAAUAUUGGACAAUGGGCGCAAGCCUGAUCCAGCCAUGCCGCGUGAGUGAUGAAGGCCUUAGGGUUGUAAAGCUCUUUCGCCGGUGAAGAUAAUGACGGUAACCGGAGAAGAAGCCCCGGCUAACUUCGUGCCAGCAGCCGCGGUAAUACGAAGGGGGCUAGCGUUGCUCGGAAUCACUGGGCGUAAAGCGCACGUAGGCGGAUCGUUAAGUCAGGGGUGAAAUCCUGGAGCUCAACUCCAGAACUGCCCUUGAUACUGGCGAUCUCGAGUUCGAGAGAGGUUGGUGGAACUCCGAGUGUAGAGGUGAAAUUCGUAGAUAUUCGGAAGAACACCAGUGGCGAAGGCGGCCAACUGGCUCGAUACUGACGCUGAGGUGCGAAAGCGUGGGGAGCAAAACAGGAUUAGAUACCCUGGUAGUCCACGCCGUAAAACGAUGGAUGCUAGCCGUUGGGGGGUUUACCUCUCAGUGGCGCAGCUAACGCCUUAAGCAUCCCGCCUGGGGAGUACGGUCGCAAGAUUAAAAACUCAAAAGGAAUUGACGGGGUCAUAGCUGUUUCCU
rnacentral:rRNA from 1 species